AUGAACCCUUCGGGGUGGAUUAGUGGCGAACGGGUGAGUAACACGUGAGCAACCUGCCCUUGACUCUGGGAUAAGCCUGGGAAACUGGGUCUAAUACCGGAUAGUACCCCUUGCCGCAUGGUGGGGGGUGGAAAGCCUUGUGCGGUCUUGGAUGGGCUCGCGGCCUAUCAGCUUGUUGGUGGGGUGAUGGCCUACCAAGGCGACGACGGGUAGCCGGCCUGAGAGGGUGACCGGCCACACUGGGACUGAGACACGGCCCAGACUCCUACGGGAGGCAGCAGUGGGGAAUAUUGCACAAUGGGCGGAAGCCUGAUGCAGCGACGCCGCGUGGGGGAUGACGGCCUUCGGGUUGUAAACCCCUUUCGGCAGGGAACAAGCCGCUUCGGUGGUGAGGGUACCUGCGGAAGAAGCGCCGGCUAACUACGUGCCAGCAACCGCGGUAAUACGUAGGGCGCGAGCGUUAUCCGGAAUUAUUGGGCGUAAAGAGCUCGUAGGCGGUUUGUCGCGUCUGCUGUGAAAGCCCGGGGCUCAACCCCGGGUCUGCAGUGGGUACGGGCAGGCUGGAGUGCAGUAGGGGAGACUGGAAUUCCUGGUGUAGCGGUGAAAUGCGCAGAUAUCAGGAGGAACACCGAUGGCGAAGGCAGGUCUCUGGGCUGUAACUGACGCUGAGGAGCGAAAGCAUGGGGAGCGAACAGGAUUAGAUACCCUGGUAGUCCAUGCCGUAAACGUUGGGCACUAGGUGUGGGGGCCAUUCCACGGUUUCCGCGCCGCAGCUAACGCAUUAAGUGCCCCGCCUGGGGAGUACGGCCGCAAGGCUAAAACUCAAAGGAAUUGACGGGGGCCCGCACAAGCGGCGGAGCAUGCGGAUUAAUUCGAUGCAACGCGAAAAACCUUACCAAGGCUUGACAUGUGCCGGACCGUCCCAGAGAUGGGGCUUCCCUUCGGGGCCGG
rnacentral:rRNA from 1 species